rnacentral:lncRNA from 1 species
CACAACUCAAAAUAUAAGCCAGCCCAUACAUUAUUAUUGAUGUACCAAAUGAAAAACAGGUAUCAACUACCAGAGAAGCUAUUAUAAGCUUAUGUUACAUCCAGAGCCCGGGUUGGGUGAACCAUGAAUAAAACAAGAAUUUGCGGACUUUGCCCGUAUAUGGCCAGCCCUUGAAUGAUGAACACUAAACCCUAAACCUUAACUCCAUAUACCUUAAACACAAUCCCUCUCAUGCUACCAUAUUAAAUAACCAUGCAAUAUUCCAUAAAUGCAUGAUCUCAAAAUCUAUCUGCAGUUACAGGCUAAAGAUUCUCAUAUUCUGAAGCAUAAGAUCAGGACAAAGAGAUUUCACAACCUAGAAAGCAUACCACCACAACUGGAGCUCACAGUGCUAGGUUUCACAUUGACAAUGGAUUCCUUAGUCUUUUUCAGUUAGUUUCCAGUCACGCUCUGCCAUGUUGGGGUCUCUUCUAAAAGGCUUAUGCUUAGUAAUUUCUGUUUGUUAAGAGAAUAUAAGUAUUCUUGUAGAUAAUAAAUUAGUAAGGGUAUUCUUGUAAAUAGUUUGUUAGGUUUGUACUCCUAUAAAUACUAGUUGGUCACUCAUAAUAUGUGACUAGAUGUUUUCCUCCCAAGAUACCUGUUAACAUGGUAUCAGAGCAAAAGUCCUAGGGUUAGGUUAAACAUCUAGCAAAAGUACUGUUCACGCCGCACUGUUCACGCGCGUACUGUUCACGCACUGUUCACGCACGUACUGUUCAGGCACUGUUCACGCGGUACUGUUCACGCGCACUGUUCACGGUACUGUUCACACGUCACUGUCAUCUGAGUUUUGACCCGUCUUUGUUUGACGUGCUAUUCGUCAUGGUUGAAAGGUUUGUUAAUGCGGUUACACUGAUCAAUUGAAUCGAGUUUUUCAGCACAUGGGUCCCAGAAACUGUUACUAUAUCUGAGGAAGAUUAUGUUAAAUUCCUACAGUACCAAGCUACAAAUCACGCAUCUCUUCCCUCUGCUUCUUUAGCACAAAAAGGUAAUGACUCAUGGAUUAUUGAUUCCGGGGCUACUGAUCAUAUGUCAGGUACCUCUAAAAUUUUUUCUAAUUUUCAAGAGUCUACUCCCUUUCCUCAUGUUACUUUAGCUGAUGGAUCUACCACUAAAGUUAAAGGACUAGGCACUGUAGAAAUUAAUCCAUCACUUCCGCUGUCUUCUGUUCUUUACGUACCCAAUUUGCCCUUUAAUCUAAUGUCUGUUAGUAAGCUCACUAAAUUUCUACAGUGUACAGUUACUUUUUCUCCUGAUUCUGUUGUCAUUCAGGAUUUGAAGACAAAGAGGACGAUUGGUGGAGGGCAUGAGCAUAAUGGUCUUUACUUUCUCAACUUCAAUGGUCCGAUAGCAUGUCCUGCUACUGUUUCUCCUCUUGAAAUUCACUGUCGUUUAGGUCAUCCGUCUUUACAAAAUUUGAAAAAGUUGGUUCCUACUUUGAGUCAAUUAUCUUCGUUAGAAUGUGAGUCUUGUCAGUUAGGAAAGCAUCAUCGUGUUUCUUUUGCUCCUAGAGUCAAUAAACGGGUUUCUGAACCUUUUUGUUAGUUCAUUCUGAUGUUUGGGGUCCUAGUCGAGUCACUUCAAAGUUAGGUUUUAAAUAUUUUGUAGUCUUUGUUGAUGAUUUUUCCAGAGUUACAUGGCUUUAUUUAAUGAAAGAUCGUUCAGAAUUAUAUUCCAUUUUUUGUGCAUUUGUUACAGAAAUAAAGAAUCAAUUUGGUGUGCCUGUACGUAUACUUCGCAGUGAUAAUGCGAAAGAAUAUUUUUCCACUCCUUUUAAUACCUUUAUGACUAAGUCUGGUAUUAUUCAUCAGUCCUCUUGUCCUCACACUCCACAACAGAAUGGAGUUGCUGAAAGAAAAAUUGGACAUUUAAUCGAAAUUGCUCGAACACUGUUGUUGCACAUGAAUGUGCCCAAACAAUUUUGGAGUGAUGCAGUUCUAACUGCAUGUUAUUUAAUUAAUCGCAUGCCAUCUAAUAUUCUUGGAGGUCAAUUACCUCACUCCAUUCUUUUUCCUCAUGAACCUGUGUUUAAAUUGCCUCCUCGUAUUUUUGGAUGUGUGUGCUUUGUUCAUCAGCUUGCUCCCGGGGUGGAUAAAUUAGAUUCUCGUGCUAUUAAGUGUAUUUUCUUAGGAUACGCACGAGCGCAAAAAGGGUAUAGAUGUUACAGUCCAGUUUUAAAUCGAUUUUUUACUUGUGCUGAUGUUACUUUCUUUGAAUCCACUCCAUAUUUUAUCAAACAAAGUAUGUCUUGUGAGUUAGACCAGUGUCCCUCUUUUUCCUCUCCUGUUUUACCAGUCCCUUCCCCUUUAUUACCUGAGUUAUCUAGUCCACCAGAUUCCAUAGCUCGAUUAUCUCGUCCUCAUCUUCAAGUUUACUCUCGUCGUUCCAUGGUUGAGAAAGUUCCUGAUAUGCCACGCACUUCACCAAUUAACUCUCAAUCUUCAAAUCCAGGUAUGACGCCCUCCUCUGAGUUAGAUCUUCCUAUUGCUUUACGCAAAGGUAAGAGACAUUGUACUUCCCAUCCUAUUUCUAAUUUUGUUUCUUAUUCUCGUCUCUCUAUGUCAUAUUCUUCUUUUGUUGCUUCCCUUGAUUCUAUCUCCAUUCCUAAGUCUAUUACCUAUGCUCUUAAUCAUCCUGGUUGGAGAUUAGCUAUGCAAGAAGAGAUGUCUGCUUUGGAACAAAAUGGUACUUGGGAUCUUGUCCCUCGUCCUUCAGGUAAGCCUGUUGUUGGUUGUAAAUGGGUGUACACUAUAAAAGUGCAGCCUAAUGGUUCUAUUGAUAGAUUGAAGGCUCGUCUGGUAGCUAGAGGAUUUACUCAGGUGUAUGGAGUAGACUACUUAGAAACAUUUUCUCCUGUUGCAAAGAUUACCUCUGUUCGUCUUCUUAUCUCUUUGGCAGCAACUUAUAAUUGGCCAUUGCAUCAGUUGGAUGUGAAAAAUGCAUUUCUGCAUGGAGAUUUGGAAGAAGAGGUAUAUAUGGAACAACCUCCUGGAUUUGUUGUUCAGGGGAGAAUCCGCGGUUGGUUUGUCGUUUGAAAAAAUCCUUAUAUGGAUUGAAACAGUCUCCGAGGGCUUGGUUUGGCCGGUUUAGUAGUGUUGUCAUGGAGUUCGGUCUGACAAGAUGUGGAGUAGAUCACUCUGUAUUUUAUCGGCAUUCUAAUGCUGGUAAAAUUUUAUUAGUUGUUUAUGUGGAUGACAUUGUGAUUACAGGUGAUGAUGUUGUGGGGAUCCAGAAACUUAAAUCCAAUCUGCAGGCAACUUUCAGACAAAGGAUUUAGGUCAUCUACAGUAUUUUCUGGGUAUUGAGGUGCUCGAUCUAAAUAUGGGAUUUAUUUAUGUCAAAGAAAAUAUGUACUCGAUAUGUUGAGUGAAGUUGGAAUGUUAGGUUGCCGACCUGUGGAUACUCCUAUGGAUCCCAAUGUGAAAUUAGCAGGAGAUCAAGGUGCAUUACUUGAUGAUCCUAAGCAAUAUCGAAAACUUGUGGGUAAAUUAAAUUAUCUCACUAUAACGAGACCUGACAUUUCGUUUACAGUGAGUGUUGUGAGUCAAUUUCUUGACACCCUCGUACUAAUCAUUGGGAUGCUGUUAUACGGAUUCUCAGGUAUCUUAAGAGUGCUCCUGGAAAAGGGUUGUUGUAUCAAAAUCAUGGACACACUGAUAUUGAAGGAUAUAGUGAUGCAGAUUGGGCUGGUUCUGCCUCAGAUCGAAGAUCGACUACAGGAUAUUGUGUGUUUGUUGGUGGUAAUUUAGUGUCGUAGAAGAGUAAGAAGCAAACAGUUGUAUCCAGAUCAAGUGCAGAAUCUGAAUACCGUGCUAUGGCUCACACUGUGUGUGAACUGGUUUGGUUGAAGAGCAUGUUACUGGAACUUGGGUUUGAGCAUAAACAGCCUAUGAAUUUAGUGUGUGAUAAUCAGGCUGCUGUUCAUAUUGCGUCUAAUCCAGUGUUUCAUGAAAGGACAAAACAUAUUGAAGUUGAUUGUCAUUUCAUUCGAGAGAAAUUGCUUGACGGGAUCAUCAAGACAUCUCAUGUACCGUCUGUAGAUCAAUUGGCUGAUGUGUUUACCAAGAGUUUAGGGGACUCUAGGGUGAAAUACCUUUGUAACAAGUUGGGUGCUUAUGAUAUAUAUGCUCCAACUUGAGGGGGAGUGUUAAGAGAAUAUAAGUAUUCUUGUAGAUAAUAAAUUAGUAAGGGUAUUCUUGUAAAUAGUUUGUUAGGUUUGUACUCCUAUAAAUACUAGUUGGUCACUCAUAAUAUUGUGACAAGAUGUUUUCCUCCCAAGAUACCUGUUAACACUGUUAUUCACCAAAUUCAGCAAAAGAAUAGCAUCACUACUUUCAGCCAAAACGCAAUCAAAUCAGUGUCAAAAUGA